UCGAGUUUGAAGUGGGCCUUUUGAGCUGCAGUCAUAUGUGUGCUCGAGGCCCCGCUCCAAUCCACUCAACCCCUGUGCACUUUCGGAGUGGCGAGUGGGAUCGCAAGGUCUUGCUCGUGGCUUCGUCUCUUAUCACAAACCAGUUUUAUUAUUGUCAUGUAGAACGUGGAUGCCUGCAAAGGCGGAAACUCAAUA
rnacentral:misc_RNA from 1 species